rnacentral:rRNA from 1 species
CCUGCUCAAUGAGCAUUUCUUUAAUAGCCGCAGUACACUGACUGUGCUAAGGUAGCGUAAUCAAUUGUCCUUUAAUUGGGGGNGANUANGAANGGAUNCACUGGGUUUAACUGUCNCAAUAAUAUUUUAAAUAACUUACUUAGUAGGUGAAAAUUCCUUCUUUAAAAAGAAAGACGAGAAGACCCUUAGACUUUUUUAAAGUAAAAUUACUUAUUUUUUUUAUUUUGUUGGGGCGACAGAGUUUCAUUUAAACAAACUUUUUACAAAUAUUAUGAUUUAAUCAAAUUUUAUUUAUAUGAAAUAAAGUACCUAAGGGAUAACAGCAUAAUUACUAAAGUAGAUUGUGACCUCGAUGUUGGA